UACAGAGGGUGCGAGCGUUAAUCGGAAUUACUGGGCGUAAAGCGCGCGUAGGCGGCUUUGCAAGUCGGGUGUGAAAUCCCCAGGCUUAACCUGGGAACUGCAUUCGAGACUGCAUUGCUAGAGUAUGGGAGAGGGAAGUGGAAUUUCCGGUGUAGCGGUGAAAUGCGCAGAUAUCAGGAGGAACACCGAUGGCGAAGGCAGGUCUCUGGGCCACUACUGACGCUGAGAAGCGAAAGCAUGGGGAGCGAACAGG
rnacentral:rRNA from 1 species